AUGGACAACCAGGCCGGGCGCGCCGUCAUCCUCGGUCCAGAAUUCCACAGCUUCGUCCAGGGCGACCUCUCCGUCGCCGAAUACAGCAGGCGUCUCAAGUCCCUCGCAGAUGCCCUUGAGGACGUCGGCGAGCGUGUCACCGACCAGUCCCUCACACUUCAGCUCAUCCGCGGUCUCAACCGUAAGUUUCACGUCAUGGCUACCCUACUGUCGAUGCAAUCGCCGUUCCCAACCUUCGUGCAGGCGCGCUCGAGGCUGCUCAUGGAGGAGAUUUCGGCCAACGAGCGGGCGCGCCUCGAUGGACGGCCUGAAGCCACGGCCACCGCGCUCGCCAUCGGCCACAGCCCGGGCGGCUCCUCCUCCGACCGCGCUCCUGAUCGCGCCUCCACCGAUCGGGGCAGGGGGCCGGUCGCGCCGCAAUCUGGUGAUCGCGACCGCGGAGGGCGCGGAUGUGGGCGUGGGCGCGGCCGCGGCCGCGGCGCCCAAACUCCUGGCAGCCCCUCCUCCGGCCGCGCUGCUGCUCCUUCCGGUUUCGGCUCGUCCUCGUCACUGCCCACCGGCUACUUCGCCCCGUACGGGGCGCUCCUUCCGGGUCUUCCUCAGCCUCGCGCACCGUGGGCCGCACCGAACGCUGCGGGUGUUCUAGGCCCGCGCCCGCCGCCUCCUCAUCAGGCCUACCCGGUGGCCGCCGCGGCCUCCUCCAAUGGGUCGUCUUGGGAGCAGUACAACCAACUGUACGCCGCGCUGCAGAACCUCUCCGUGCAGCACUAG
rnacentral:rRNA from 1 species